GAUCCGAAGCCGGUUGCAGCCAAACUGCUGUUCAUGGCCGGAAAACUACAAAGAAGUAGUCCAGAAGUGUGUUGCUUACCUCAAGUGGGAGGAUAUAUGGUCUUCCUUCGGUCAGUCUGGCCAGAAGAAGGGGGCGGUGAAUCAAGGAAUGACCUCUGGUUCACAGACGGCCAAGAUGGGCGAACAGCUGAAGAGGGACCUCAAACGGCAACCUACAAGACCACUCAGUUCUACUCCUGCUAGAUAUCAGUCUGAUUCCGACGACACAUGUUGUGAUAUUUUUGAUCCACCCAAAAAACGAAAAAUGGUGGUACACAUCAGUGAGGAGGAGGAGACGCCAUCCCUCAGGCGGAGUCUCAGCGGCCAGGGACGGAGCCUGCAGUU